rnacentral:rRNA from 1 species
GAUGAACGCUGGCGGCGUGCCUAAUACAUGCAAGUCGAGCGAACAGAUAAGGAGCUUGCUCCUUUGACGUUAGCGGCGGACGGGUGAGUAACACGUGGAUAACCUACCUAUAAGACUGGGAUAACUUCGGGAAACCGGAGCUAAUACCGGAUAAGAUUUUGAACCGCAUGGUUCAAUAGCGAAAGACGGCCUUGCUGUCACUUAUAGAUGGAUCCGCGCCGUAUUAGCUAGUUGGUAAGGUAACGGCUUACCAAGGCAACGAUACGUAGCCGACCUGAGAGGGUGAUCGGCCACACUGGAACUGAGACACGGUCCAGACUCCUACGGGAGGCAGCAGUAGGGAAUCUUCCGCAAUGGGCGAAAGCCUGACGGAGCAACGCCGCGUGAGUGAUGAAGGUCUUCGGAUCGUAAAACUCUGUUAUCAGGGAAGAACAAACGUGUAAGUAACUGUGCACGUCUUGACGGUACCUGAUCAGAAAGCCACGGCUAACUACGUGCCAGCAGCCGCGGUAACACGUAGGUGGCAAGCGUUAUCCGGAAUUAUUGGGCGUAAAGCGCGCGUAGGCGGUUUUUUAAGUCCGAUGUGAAAGCCCACGGCUCAACCGUGGAGGGUCAUUGGAAACUGGAAAACUUGAGUGCAGAAGAGGAAAGUGGAAUUCCAUGUGUAGCGGUGAAAUGCGCAGAGAUAUGGAGGAACAUCAGUGGCGAAGGCGACUUUCUGGUCUGUAACUGACGCUGAUGUGCGAAAGCGUGGGGAUCAAACAGG